GACGAACGCUGGCGGCGUGCUUAACACAUGCAAGUCGAACGGUAAGGCCCUUCGGGGUACACGAGUGGCGAACGGGUGAGUAACACGUGGGUAAUCUGCCCUGCACAUCGGGAUAAGCCUGGGAAACUGGGUCUAAUCUCACAUAGGUCCACAGGACACCUGUCCUGUGGUGGAAAGCUUUUGCGGUGUGGGAUGGGCGCGCGGCCUAUCAGCUUGUUGGUGGGGUGAUGGCCUACCAAGGCGACGACGGGUAGCCGGCCUGAGAGGGUGUCCGGGCACAGUGGGACGGAGAUACGGCCCAGACUAGGACGCGGGGCAGAAGUGGGGAAAAUUGCAGAAUGGGCGAAAGCGUGAUGCAGCGACGGCGCGGAGGGGAUGACGGUUGUCGAGUUGUAAAGCUCUUACAGCAACGACGAAGGUCAGGGUUUUCUCGGGCUGACGGUAGGUGGAGAAGAAGCACCGGCCAACUACGUG
rnacentral:rRNA from 1 species